UUUGAUUCAUUGGUGCCCGUACCGCAAACCGACACUGGUAGACGGGUAGAGUAUACCAAGGUGACCGGGAGAACUCAUGCUUAGGAAUUAGGCAACAUGACCUCGUAACUUCGGGAUAAGAGGUGCUCUCUGCUGUGAGGAAACUCCAUGAAGCAGCGGAGAGUCGCAGUGAAAUGGCUCUAGCGACUGGUUAACAAAACCACAGGUCUCUGCUAAGCCGCAAGGCGACGUAUAGGGGCUGACACCUGCCCAGUGCCGGAAGGUUAAAAGGAGAGGUUCGGCGCAAGCCAAAGCCUUGAAUUGAAGCCCCGGUGAACGGCGGCCGUAACUAUAACGGUCCUAAGGUAGCGAAAUUCCUUGUCGGGUAAGUUCCGACCCGCACGAAAGGUGUAACGACUGGAGCACUGUCUCGGCAUGAGACCCGGCGAAAUUGAAAUACGUGUAAAGAUGCGCGUUACCCGCAGCAGGACAAAAAGACCCCGUGGAGCUUUACUGUAUCUUGGCAUUGCGUUAGGGCUUGGUCUGUGUAGAAUAGGUGGGAGGCUUUGAAGCUGGGGCGCUAGCCUCGGUGGAGCCACAAUGUGAAAUACCACCCUGAUUAAGUUUUGACCCUAACCCCGUACCGUCAUCCGGUCGGGGGACCGUGCCAGGUGGGCAGUUUGACUGGGGCGGUCGCCUCCUAAAAGGUAGCGGAGGCGCCCAAAGGUUCCCUCAGGCUGAAUGGAAACCAGCCAUAGAGUGCAAAGGCAUAAGGGAGCUUGACUGUAAGGCAAACACGCCGAGCAGAUGCGAAAGCAGGGCUUAGUGAUCCCACGGUACUGAGUGGAAGGGCCGUGGCUUACCGGACAAAAGCUACCCCGGGGAUAACAGGCUGGUGAAGUCCAAGAGUCCAUAUCGACGACUUCGCUCGGCACCUCGAUGUCGGCUCGUCGCAUCCUGGGGCUGUAUAAGGUCCCAAGGGUUGGGCUGUUCGCCCAUUAAAGCGGCACGUGAGCUGGGUUCAGACCGUCGUGAGACAGGUCGGUCUCUACCCGCUGUGGGCGUAGGGGAUUUGAGGGGAGCUGCUCUUAGUACGAGAGGACCGGAGUGGACAGACCUCUGGUGUGCCAGUUGUUCCGCCAGGAGCAUCGCUGGGUAGCCACGUCUGGCAGAGAUAACCGCUGAAUGCAUCUAAGUGGGAAACUCGCCCCAAGAUUAGAUCCCCCUUCUAUAUGAGGAAGACCGCCGGAAGACCACCGGUUUGAUAGGCGACAGGUGUAAGCACGGCAAUGUGUUAAGCUUAGUCGAUACUAAUGGUCGAGGGCUUACGUGA
rnacentral:rRNA from 1 species